GAAAAGAAACUAACAAGGAUUCCCCUAGUAGCGGCGAGCGAAGCGGGAAGAGCCCGGGAUGAAAAUCUCUUUGGAGAGUUGUAGUCUGAGCUCCCUUGGGCGGUCAGUGUGGGUAAAUCGUCUGGGAUGACGUGCCACGGAGGGUGAGAGCCCCGUCCACCCCACACAGGACCCGCCCGCACGAGGGCGCUUCAACCGAGUCGGGUAGCUUGGGAAUGCUGCUCCAAUUGGUGGUAAAUCUCAUCAAAGGCUAAAUAACGGUGGGAGACCGAUAGCGAACAAGUACCGUGAGGGAAAGAUGGAAAGAACUUUGAAAAGAGAGUGAAAAGCGCUUGAAACCGUCACGGGGGAAGCGGAUUGCGUGAGUGAUGGCGCGCACUGUUCAGCUCAAAAUGUGGAGUGUAUUCUGUGCGCGCCGGGCGUGUGUGGCUGGGGUGCGUGCGAAUUUUGGCACGCGUUCCUGGUGAGGGCUCCCUGCCUGUCAGGUGAGGACACACGCGAAAUGACGCAAUACGACCCGUCUUGAAACACGGACCAAGGAGUCUAGCACGGCUGCGAGUCGAAGGGUGCUUAAACCCAGAGGGCGCAGUGAAAGCGAAAGAAAGCAAAUUGGGGAGGCGUUGCGGUUUUACCAAAAUGUCCUACCUCGAGCACCUGUGCUGGGACCCGAAAGAUGGUGAACUAUGCCGGAGUAGGGCAAAGCCAGAGGAAACUCUGGUGGAGGCUCGUAGCGAUGCUGACGUGCAAAUCGCUCGUCGAACUUGGGUAUAGGGGCGAAAGACUAAUCGAACCAUCUAGUAGCUGGUUCCCUCCGAAGUUUCUCUCAGGAUAGCGGGCCGACGACAUGUUGUUUUGUGCGGUAAAGCGAAUGAUUAGUGCAUUUGGGGGCCGAAGGCCUUCAGGCGAUUCUCAAACUUUAAAUGCGCAAGGGGGCGGCUGCUUAAUUGAGCCUGCUCUUUGAAAAACGUCGGCCCUGUGGGCCACUUUUGGUAAGCAGAACUGGCGAUAAGGGAUGAACCUUAAGCGCGGUUAAGGCGCCGCAUUGCCCGCUUAUAGACCCCACAAAAGGUGUUGAUUCAUCCAGACAGCAGGACGGUGGCCAUGGAAGUCGGAAUCCGCUAAGGAGUGUGUAACAACUCACCUGCCGAAUGAAUUAGCCCUGAAAAUGGAUGGCGCUGAAGCGGGCAGCCGACACCGCGCCGUUCGGGCGAGACGAUGCCCGAAUGAGUAGGAGGGCGUGGCGGUCAGUGACGCAGGCGUGGGUGCAGACCCCGCUGAAACGGCCGCUAGUGCAGAUCUUGGUGGUAGUAGCAAAUAUUCAAGCGAGAUCCUUGAAGGGCGAAGCGGGGAAGGGUUCCACGCGAACAUUGAUUGGGCGUGGGUGAGUC
rnacentral:rRNA from 1 species